AGGGCAGUCGGUCAAAUGCCCAAAAUACUCUCCCAGAUCAGGACAGCUGUUUGUUGGUACAAGCUACCCUACCACCAGGCACCAUCACCGCCGCCGGUCCGCCACCUCCACGUUACUUGCUUUGACUCCAAAUCCACGAGAAAGAAGAAUGGCGUGUUAAGAAUGAUAGAUAGAUCUCUGGAAAUGGAGUAGAAAACCUAUGCGUGAACCUCCACCAUUUCGGAAGCAUUGAAAGGUAGAUGCUGUCAUUUGGCUGCUACUGAUGGAGGACUUCAGGUCUAGGUCUUAUGGCGAUGGGAGGAUGGAAAUGGAGGUCUACGGGAGCAGGCCCCAGGCUUCAGUCUCUGGAACUCAUGACCGCAGAAGCUACAGCGCAUCCUAUGCCUCUUCCCAGAGCCACACCCAAGUUCCCCAAGAUAUGAAUCGGAAGAAGGGGAACGGCGUCUCUGCCUCCUCUUCCUCCAAGGGUGGUUGGAGUCUCAGUGACCCUGAGUUGCAGCGGAGGAAGAGAGUGGCGGGAUAUAAGGCCUAUGCUAUGGAAGGGAAGAUGAAGGGAAGUUUAAAAAAAGGCUUCAGGUGGCUCAAGGACAGGAUUGGGUGGUGGUGAUGAUUUCUUAAGAUUCAGGUUCUUAUUGAAGAAGACAGCAACAAGAUGGAAGAAAAUGCUCAGAGGUAAAAUAAAAACUCUUAAGCCUUUGGUUCAUGUGGAGUUUAUUGUUCAGUCAAGAAAAAUGUGACUAGAUAAAAGGAAUAUGAUAUAACUGAGUUAAUUAUGUUAACUUCGACUAGAUAAUUUAAUCUAGCUGAUUGCUUUUCUUUUUCUUGGGCCCAAAUUGAUUAAGAGACUUUUGCCGUAAGAAAAAACGCUUAAUAUCAAUUGGAUUUGUGUCAUGCCUUUGUUCAGCCAAUUCCUCAAUGUUGUUUCAGUUAGUUUACUAUA